AAUUCGAUUAAUUACCACCGCCUCUUGUUUCAUAUAAUCACGUUUGCUUAUAUCAACUUCUUACUGUUGCUGAUUUUGCAAUUUCUUGCUUGCUUAAUGAAUUUGGGAACACAAAUUUGAUUGUUAAAAGUAUUAUAGUGGCGAAAGAUUGGAACGGCCGCUGAAAGCGUCUUCGCAGUUAUCGACACCUUCGUUCACUGACAGAUCGCAGCAUUGCAGCUGAAGCUCUUGUUUAUGGUGAGGCAGAGGGGGGAGAAAAUGAUGAAAAUCUAUUCAGAAACAUCUGACUUCUUUUGGAGCCCCGAUUAUCUUUAACUGAGGUAUCUCCACAGUGCACAAUCGACGCCCCUGUUCUGAUGGUAUAUGUUCAUACGUGAUACUGAAAUUUCAGCCUUAACUUUCUUGCCUCGAGAAGAUGUCUAUUGUCUAUUCAAGAAAGAUGGUCGGUUUUACAAUCUUAUAAUUUGCCCAAGUGGCACAGAGCUGCGCACCGAGCUGCCAUUAAAAUGUUGGAAAGUGGUGCCAGUCUGAGUAUAGUAAUUAGGAGGAUUGAGGAAACUUUGUAUUGCAAGAAAUGAUCCUCAGAAGUUCAGAAUUACAGACAAAAGCAUUUUGUGUAUUCAACUUA